AUUGAACGCUGGCGGCAGGCCUAACACAUGCAAGUCGAGCGGAUGAAGGGAGCUUGCUCCUGGAUUCAGCGGCGGACGGGUGAGUAAUGCCUAGGAAUCUGCCUGGUAGUGGGGGAUAACGUCCGGAAACGGGCGCUAAUACCGCAUACGUCCUGAGGGAGAAAGUGGGGGAUCUUCGGACCUCACGCUAUCAGAUGAGCCUAGGUCGGAUUAGCUAGUUGGUGGGGUAAAGGCCUACCAAGGCGACGACCCGUAACUGGUCUGAGAGGAUGAUCAGUCACACUGGAACUGAGACACGGUCCAGACUCCUACGGGAGGCAGCAGUGGGGAAUAUUGGACAAUGGGCGAAAGCCUGAUCCAGCCAUGCCGCGUGUGUGAAGAAGGUCUUCGGAUUGUAAAGCACCUUAAGUUGGGAGGAAGGGCAGUAAGUUAAUACCUUGCUGUUUUGACGUUACCAACAGAAUAAGCACCGGCUAACUUCGUG
rnacentral:rRNA from 1 species